CUGCCCACCUCCAAACAGAUGUAGGCGCCGCCCCUCACGAGCCAUGGCCGCAUCCCCGAGUCGUCCUGCUCACUUCUGAAGCCACCUCCCCUCGCCGACGUCCCUGACCGCCGCAAGAUUCGGUCACCUCUCCUCCGGUCUAUUCACAGCUUUUCAGGUGAGUAAGCCCUGUGUUUUCCGUCGGCGGUGAGGUCGGUCUCCUUUGACGUCUCCUUCUUCUGCUCCGCUUUGGCGUCGUGGCUUGGAGGUGUCUCAGCAGCUGGCCAUUUGUCUGUUGGGCGGCGCCGUGGAUGUUCCUGUCGGUCUGUGACUUUUGGCCUAUCCAUGGGGACUCCAAAAGAUAGCAGCAGGUGCUUCCUUGUGGAAUUUCCUUAUGCUUUAUUGAUGACUUAGUGGAAGGGUUGUCUGCGUCAAUUGCUACUACAAGUCAGCAGAUAGAGAUGGAUACC